rnacentral:tRNA from 1 species
GUUAAGAUGGCCGAGUUGGUCUAAGGCGCCAGUUUGGCAUGGGUUCGAAUCCCAUUCUUACAUGAUUAAUAUUUUUUAUAGAACUUCAUGUUUUUUAUAGAACUUCAUUGGCAUGGCAUGGAUUUGAAUCCAUUCUAGACAUGUUUAGAAUCCUAUUCUUGACAUGAUUAUUUUUUUUAUACAAUUUCAUUGGCAUGGGUUCGAAUCCCAUUCUUGACA